rnacentral:rRNA from 1 species
AUGUGGAUACAAAUCUUGAGUAAUAAGUACCUCCAAUCUAAGACUUUGGCCCAGGUUACCGCUAGGCCUAACGACUCGCUGUUCUGGAAAGGGUUAAUGAGGAUGAAAGUCUCCUUUUUUCAGAGGGUGAAGUUCAUCGUUGGCAAUGGUAACACGACUAGAUUUUGGGAAGAUGCAUGGUUAGGGGAGACGCCCCUAGCCUUCUAA